AUCAAAUACUUUCUGAAAAAAUCAUUACAAAAAGUAAUUCUCUUCUCGAAAUUUGAUAAGUCAUGACAAUAAAUCCCAAAGACUAACAUAUUUUUCAAAAAGAAAUGUUUACAAAUGUUCUUUCCUCUGUAUUAUGGAAAAAGAUCGGUAUAUGUUUUUGCAUUGAUUGUGAGAAUCUCCGGUGGGGUUGUCUCAUAGGUGGGGUGGUAUUUUGAUGGCGAUAUAUGUUUCCGAUCUGUAGAGUAUGACUUGCAAGCCGCCUGCAGUUUCUGCAUCAAAGGGAGGUAAUCCUUGAAAAUCAAGGGAGAUUCUUCAAAUCCUCUUCCGAAGAGUUUGAAUCGAGGUCCUUCAUCAUUUCUGUAACACGUUGAUAAAACAAAUCCUUUGCAUACUGGUA